AUUUAUAUAGUAUAACUAGUAUAUAUGACUUCCAAUCAUAAGGUUUAUCCAUCGAUAAUAUAAAUA
rnacentral:tRNA from 1 species